rnacentral:rRNA from 1 species
GGGACACGUGGUAUCCUGUCUGAAUAUGGGGGGACCAUCCUCCAAGGCUAAAUACUCCUGACUGACCGAUAGUGAACCAGUACCGUGAGGGAAAGGCGAAAAGAACCCCGGCGAGGGGAGUGAAAAAGAACCUGAAACCGUGUACGUACAAGCAGUGGGAGCACAGAGCAAUCUGUGUGACUGCGUACCUUUUGUAUAAUGGGUCAGCGACUUAUAUUCUGUAGCAAGGUUAACCGAAUAGGGGAGCCGAAGGGAAACCGAGUCUUAACUGGGCGUUAAGUUGCAGGGUAUAGACCCGAAACCCGGUGAUCUAGCCAUGGGCAGGUUGAAGGUUGGGUAACACUAACUGGAGGACCGAACCGACUAAUGUUGAAAAAUUAGCGGAUGACUUGUGGCUGGGGGUGAAAGGCCAAUCAAACCGGGAGAUAGCUGGUUCUCCCCGAAAGCUAUUUAGGUAGCGCCUCGUGAAUUCAUCUCCGGGGGUAGAGCACUGUUUCGGCAAGGGGGUCAUCCCGACUUACCAACCCGAUGCAAACUGCGAAUACCGGAGAAUGUUAUCACGGGAGACACACGGCGGGUGCUAACGUCCGUCGUGAAGAGGGAAACAACCCAGACCGCCAGCUAAGGUCCCAAAGUCAUGGUUAAGUGGGAAACGAUGUGGGAAGGCCCAGACAGCCAGGAUGUUGGCUUAGAAGCAGCCAUCAUUUAAAGAAAGCGUAAUAGCUCACUGGUCGAGUCGGCCUGCGCGGAAGAUGUAACGGGGCUAAACCAUGCACCGAAGCUGCGGCAGCGACGCUUAUGCGUUGUUGGGUAGGGGAGCGUUCUGUAAGCCUGUGAAGGUGUGCUGUGAGGCAUGCUGGAGGUAUCAGAAGUGCGAAUGCUGACAUAAGUAACGAUAAAGCGGGUGAAAAGCCCGCUCGCCGGAAGACCAAGGGUUCCUGUCCAACGUUAAUCGGGGCAGGGUGAGUCGACCCCUAAGGCGA